GCAAACUUGGUCAUUUAGAGGAAGUAAAAGUCGUAACAAGGUUUCCGUAGGUGAACCUGCGGAAGGAUCAUUAGAAAUGCAUUGUAUUUUUCUCCCUCGAUGAAUAUAUAUUUUUCGAGGUGAAAAACACUUCAUUUCCUGGCUUCAGGAUCCGGGAGGAGUUCUUUUAUUUCUCUCGAGCUUGGAGUCGGAUUUUCCGUUUCAAUGGAAUUUAGGUGCUUUUUUGCUCCUGGCUCUGUUGGAAUGCUAUCUACACCUAUAUUUUUGUCUGAACCUUUUUUUUUUUAUUAUCGUACUUCGUGUGUUGAAACAUAUACAUGAUUUAUGAAAAAAUAAAAUAAAUACAAAACAACUUUCAACAAUGGAUCCCUCGGUUCUCCCAUCGAUGAAGAACGCAGC
rnacentral:misc_RNA from 1 species